UUCCGACGCUGUAUCAGCUAAUGUUCCACUGCUAUUCACAGCAUUUUCAUGGCCAAUUUUUUCAGAAGUGGGUGGCCAGGUCCUUCUUCCUAGUCUGCCUUAGUCUGGAAGCUCUGCUGAAACGUGUCCACCAUAGGUGAUCAUGCUGGUAUUUGAAAUACCGGUGGUAUAGCUUUCAGUAUCACAGCAACACGCAACUGCCACAGAUGGG